AUAUCUGGAACUCUCUAAGAAUGUUGGAUCUGCCAGGGGAAUAGCAGGUAAAUCAAAAAGCGCAUCUCGUGGAAUUGGUUUGUUCGCGCAUCCCCAGACAUCUGGGUUUCAUAUCCUCAAUCACCUCUAGCGUUCGAUAUCGGUCGCUAAGAAACGUGUAUUUUAUCCCAAGUCGGAAUGAGACAGCGCUAUCAAACACCUUUGGAUUGUGCUCUGUAGGUCUUUCAGAGCCUGGCCAGAUUAAGAACUUACGAAACCCAAAUUAAACAGGAGUGUGAGUUGGCUUUUUACUAGCAGUCUCGACAUUACGGACUUAGUCUGGAUUUGUGGCCUUACUUUUGCCGUGAGCAGACUCAGAGACGGUCGUUUCUGAUUGCUCGUAGAAACAGACGUCUCCUUGAUCGCGUUUUAAUUGCAGGCGGAAAAAUUGUAUGGAAUAAAUAUAGUUUAAUUUUAAAAACCAAACAAAAAUUUUAUAGUGGCUACACCGUUUUCCCGUUACGACAAUUGCAAGCGGUCCGGUCAGGCUAUUAGCGUUGCAGCUCCGGUCUAAUUUUGGAAUAUGUGGAAACGGAACUGUCGCACAUCAACUACUUGAUGUGUGCAAGUAUGGAUAUGUGUGUUUGUGGGAACUUGGAAAAAUAUGGUGUACCGCGAAAGAAGGUACGUGGGCUACCACGAUUACUUUGCCUUACGUUACGCUACGUGACUUUCCCUUAUGUACGUAUGUUCAGAUGGCCGGGCAUAUGUACAUAUGUACAUAAGCAUAUGUAUGGAGAUGGCAAAUACGAAAAACAAGCCGGAAUAUGACGAUCGAAUGCACAAUGGCCGAUCAAACAGAUAUAAGAAUAUUGCGUUCUUGGGAAAUAUCUAAUUGGUCGGCCAUGGAAAUAUGGAACAUUCGUACUUAUCUUGGAAGAAGAAGAACUUGUAAAACCGCUGCUGAACGCUGAAACUUGUAAACCUUGCAACUGCUGGAAAUAUCCGGUCGAUAGGUCGUGGACCUGGAGGGUGGCAGCUUUCCUGGGCUCUGGUUGUCGUCUGGUUCCCGUAUCGAAAUUAGAAGUCACUUUUUAAACGUUUAAAGAAAACUAAUAUAUUCCCUGUAAAGAAUUAUUUAGUUAGAUUAUAGAUUCAUAACCUUUACUACUCAAAUGGCAAGCAAUUUGGUUGAUCAAUGCACGACACGAGUGUAGUGCUGUUCCUCGACGAUGCACGCACUGUGUGUGAUAUAAGCCACGAUAAUUGAGUUGACUCUUUAGAAUAAGCAGAGUCGAUCUGAUCGGUCCAAUCCGAUUGUCGCUUGCAGUACAUGGCUGGGCAGCUCUUAAAGAUGUGAACAAAUUAAUCGGAAAGAUCAACAAAGAAAAAUUUAAUUAUCAAUCACAGGUGACAUCGCUAAUAAUUUACUCACAUCGAGUCGGAAAGCAGCGAUCAUAUUAAAAACACUACAAAUCACUAUAAACUAGAAAUACUAUAUUCUAUAAAAUACUGGAAUAAUAGUGCUUUAAAAUACCUGUUGGACGAACACUAAUAAAGUCUAAGAUUUUUUGGACUCCGUUCACGACAUAUGUCGCAAUGUA